CAAAUCUCACACAUCUAAACUUAAGUGGAAAUAAACUGAAAGAUAUCAGCACCUUGGAACCUUUGAAAAAGUUAGAAUGUCUGAAAAGCCUGGACCUCUUUAACUGUGAGGUUACCAACCUGAAUGACUACCGAGAGAGUGUCUUCAAGCUCCUGCCCCAGCUUACCUACUUGGAUGGCUAUGACCGAGAGGACCAGGAAGCACCUGACUCAGAUGCCGAGGUGGAUGGUGUGGAUGAAGAGGAGGAGGACGAAGGUGAGUAGGCUCAGCAUCUGGUGAACCUGAUGUCUGCCUUUCAAAGCCUCUGAUAAAAGCUAUUGGAUGUUGGCCGGGCGCAGUGGCACACAACCGUAAUCCCAGCACUUUGGGUGGCCGAGGCAGGGGGCAUUGCUUGAGCCCA
rnacentral:lncRNA from 10 species